UCCAAGCUAACUCUGUGCCAGGCCGUAGCAUGGGGUCCUGGUCUUCCUGUCAUAACAUACAUUACUUACCAUUGCCCUAGGGCCUCCUCUGGGCUCCUGGUCUUCGAGUCCCAUAACCGUGCCAGGCCGUAGAAUGGGGUCCUGGUCUUUCCUUACAUUGUGCCAGGCCGUAGAAUGGGGUCCUGGUCUUCCUGUCAUGGACUAAUUGGGUCAUUCAAUAUUCACCCACAUCAACAACAAUCGAUGCAAUGCGGCAUAUUCGUGGAAACUAAUGCAAUCAUCCUAUUGCAUAAUCAUGAUGCAUGAAACAUGGUAAAACAUU
rnacentral:lncRNA from 1 species